CCUGCACUCUUUGAUGCGCGCUCCUCCACACUGCUCUCUUUCAUGGUGUGUUUGCGCAGCCUGCAAAAUAAAUAUCCCUCCCUCAAAGCUCCAACAAGAAUCGGCAAAACCCCUUUAAGCGAUCCCAAAUCAUCUGGAUGCGCUAAAGCUUUUUGGUGACGACGCUAAUGAGCGAAACGAGCGUUCGAGAGUCGAGACUCAAAGCGAGAGGUCGAGGAGUAUCCGCCACGGCCGACCGCGCCUGUAAAAAGGCUCGGGACCGGCACUGCGUCCAGUGGCUGGGGUUUGGGCACUUGCUGAGAAUCGAACCCGGGCCUUCCAAAUAGUAGAAAGUUGGCGAAGUUGGCGCGGCUGCAGCGGGCAGCAGAUGGCAGCGUGGAGGGAAGUGGAGAAAGACGGACAGAAGCGAAGGGACAGAAGUGGACGAGUUUGUCUCAGAACACUCGCUGGCUUUAAAACAACACUUCAUGUUUGCUUCAUUACACUAAAAAUGUUAAGUGGAUUUUCUGAGCUCCUCUUUCAGAUUUUGAACUCACCCGUGUGUAGCUCAUCGCUCUCUGAGGUUGCCAGAUUUCAGUCGAAGUGUAA